CGUGGGGGGGGGUGUCCCUCAGCCAGGAUUGCAAGAGGGUGCAGGCCAGGCCAAGGGACACCACUGGUGCACA
rnacentral:pre_miRNA from 1 species